rnacentral:rRNA from 1 species
GACAGAGGGGGCAAGCGUUGUUCGGAAUCAUUGGGCUUAAAGCGCGCGUAGGCGGCCUUGUAAGUGUCUAGUGAAAUCCCACGGCUCAGCCGUGGAACUGCAGGGCAAACUGCAAGACUUGAGGUCGGUAGAGGCGCCUGGAACUCUAGGUGGAGCGGUGAAAUGCGUAGAUAUCUAGGGGAACGCAGGAGGCGAAAGCGGGGCGCUGGGCCGAUUCUGACGCUGAUGCGCGAAAGCGUGGGGAGCAAACAGG